rnacentral:rRNA from 1 species
UACGGAGGGUGCGAGCGUUGUCCGGAAUCACUGGGCGUAAAGGGCGCGUAGGCGGCCUGGCAAGUCGAUGGUGAAAGCCCGAGGCUCAACUUCGGGUCGGCCACUGAUACUGCUGGGCUUGAGUCGACUAGAGGCAGAUGGAAUUCCGGGUGUAGCGGUGGAAUGCGUAGAGAUCCGGAAGAACACCGGUGGCGAAGGCGGCUCACUGGCUCGUAACUGACGCUCAUGCACGAAAGCGUGGGGAUCAAACAGG